UCCUCCAAGGCUAAAUACUCCUGACUGACCGAUAGUGAACCAGUACCGUGAGGGAAAGGCGAAAAGAACCCCGGCGAGGGGAGUGAAAAAGAACCUGAAACCGUGUACGUACAAGCAGUGGGAGCACAGGUUUACCUGUGUGACUGCGUACCUUUUGUAUAAUGGGUCAGCGACUUAUAUUCUGUAGCAAGGUUAACCGAAUAGGGGAGCCGGAGGGAAACCGAGUCUUAAUUGGGCGUUAAGUUGCAGGGUAUAGACCCGAAACCCGGUGAUCUAGCCAUGGGCAGGUUGAAGGUUGGGUAACACUAACUGGAGGACCGAACCGACUAAUGUUGAAAAAUUAGCGGAUGACCUGUGGCUGGGGGUGAAAGGCCAAUCAAACCGGGAGAUAGCUGGUUCUCCCCGAAAGCUAUUUAGGUAGCGCCUCGUGAAUUCAUCUCCGGGGGUAGAGCACUGUUUCGGCUAGGGGGCCAUCCCGGCUUACCAACCCGAUGCAAACUGCGAAUACCGGAGAAUGUUAUCACGGGAGACACACGGCGGGUGCUAACGUCCGUCGUGAAGAGGGAAACAACCCAGACCGCCAGCUAAGGUCCCAAAGUCAUGGUUAAGUGGGAAACGAUGUGGGAAGGCCCAGACAGCCAGGAUGUUGGCUUAGAAGCAGCCAUCAUUUAAAGAAAGCGUAAUAGCUCACUGGUCGAGUCGGCCUGCGCGGAAGAUGUAACGGGGCUAAACCAUGCACCGAAGCUGCGGCAG
rnacentral:rRNA from 1 species